GUAAUGCGUGACAACCCUGCCCCAUGCUCCAGAAUAGCUCUUGGAAACGGGUGGUAAUGCUGGAUGNUCCAACUUGACGCAUGUCUUGUUGGGAAAGUGUUUAGUGGCAUGGGAUGGGGUCGCGUCCUAUCAGCUUGUAGGCGGGGGUAAUGGCCCACCUAGGCUUCGACGGGUAGCCGGCCUGAGAGGGCGGACGGCCACAUUGGGACUGAGAUACGGCCCAGACUCCUACGGGAGGCAGCAGGA
rnacentral:rRNA from 1 species